GACAGUUUAAUUCUUGAAGUAGUGCUUCCUAAUCUCGAAAUCCUACACAAUAUGGUGUAUUUUUCAACGAACUGCUAAUUCGAAAUGAUAUACACUGAACAAAUAAACUUAAAAUCUGUGUGGUAUGUGCAGUUCUAGUACUUCAUUCGUUUAAACCCCACGGUCUCUCAUCAUUCUUGUUUAUCUACAGAUGUAACUUUUACAAUGCAAAAAAUACUGCUAAUUUAGGGUUUGGGGUUUGAAACGAUAAAUCAAUUCCUCAAAUUAUCAAAACCACUCAUACGACAUAUCUGAUUUUAUCACAGCAAAAUCAGUUUUUUUUUAUCACUGAAUUCUUUUUUGGAGUAGUGAGCAGCGGUAAACUAAUCUGUGGCAAACUGUUUGUUUCAUUUAAUCUGUUGUUUACGCAUGUCUUUGCACUCGUAGCAGGAAACGGAACCGAACCUCAAGUCCAGUAUACGAUCAGUAGUCGUGGAACGCCGCUGCUAUUGCUCGACGGGUUCACCUUUACCAGGGAUAAGGAACGUAACAGUUUUACCUCGUGGAAAUGUGCUCAACAUCGCACGCACAGCUGCAAGGCUCGUGCCAACGCCGUCCGGGAUCGCAGUGGCCAAAAAAAAAUCGUAAUCAAACACUCGCACAAUCAUCCGCUCGUAACCGAGCGAAGAAAGAAAAGUUCCUCUAGAUAAAUAAAUGCGCUACUUCUAGUACCUCAGCCAUAGCUAACCGACAA